GCUAUACUCCCUCCGUCCGGAAUUAUUUGUCGCAACAAUGGAUAAAAAUGGAUGUAUCUAAAACUAAAAUACAUCAAGAUACAUCCAUUUCUCCGACAAGUAUUUCCGGACGGAAAGAGUAGAUU
rfam:Triticum aestivum genome assembly, contig: Triticum_aestivum_CS42_TGACv1_scaffold_223466_3B